rnacentral:rRNA from 1 species
GGUGCAAGCGUUUUCCGGAAUUAUUGGGCGUAAAGAGUUCGUAGGCGGUUUGUUGCGUCGGCUGUGAAAUCCCGAGGCUCAACCUCGGGUCUGCAGUCGAUACGAGCAAACUAGAGUGUUGCAGGGGAGACUGGAAUUCCUGGUGUAGCGGUGAAAUGCGCAGAUAUCAGGAGGAACACCGGUGGCGAAGGCGGGUCUCUGGGCAACAACUGACGCUGAGGAGCGAAAGCGUGGGGAGCGAACAGG